rnacentral:rRNA from 1 species
GAUGAACGCUGGCGGCGUGCCUAAUACAUGCAAGUCGAGCGAACGGACGAGAAGCUUGCUUCUCUGAUGUUAGCGGCGGACGGGUGAGUAACACGUGGAUAACCUACCUAUAAGACUGGGAUAACUUCGGGAAACCGUAGCUAAUACCGGAUAAUAUUUUGAACCGCAUGGUUCAAAAGUGAAAGACGGUCUUGCUGUCACUUAUAGAUGGAUCCGCGCUGCAUUAGCUAGUUGGUAAGGUAACGGCUUACCAAGGCAACGAUGCAUAGCCGACCUGAGAGAGUGAUCGGCCACACUGGAACUGAGACACGUUCCAGACUCCUACGGGAGGCAGCAGUAGGGAAUCUUCCGCAAUGGGCGAAAGCCUGACGGAGCAACGCCGCGUGAGUGAUGAAGGUCUUCGGAUCGUAAAACUCUGUUAUUAGGGAAGAACAUAUGUGUAAGUAACUGUGCACAUCUUGACGGUACCUAAUCAGAAAGCCACGGCUAACUACGUG